rnacentral:rRNA from 1 species
UACGUAGGGUGCGAGCGUUGUCCGGAUUUAUUGGGUUUAAAGGGUGCGUAGGUGGCCCUAUAAGUCAGUGGUGAAAGCCUGCAGCUUAACUGUAGGAUUGCCAUUGAUACUGUAGGGCUUGAGUACUGAUGAGGUAGGCGGAAUUGAUAGUGUAGCGGUGAAAUGCAUAGAUAUUAUCAAGAACACCGAUUGCGAAGGCAGCUUACUAAAGUGUCACUGACGCUGAGGCACGAAAGUGCGGGGAUCAAACAGG